CGGCGUGCCUAAUACAUGCAAGUCGAACGGUCUUUCUAUGGAAGCUUGCUUCCACGUGAGAAGAUAGUGGCGAACGGGUGAGUAACACGUGGGUAACCUGCCCAUAAGAGGGGGAUAACAUCCGGAAACGGGUGCUAAUACCGCAUAGUUUUCUUGAUCGCAUGAUUGAGAAAGGAAAGACGGCCUUUGUGCUGUCGCUUAUGGAUGGACCCGCGGCGUAUUAGUUAGUUGGUGAGGUAAUGGCUCACCAAGACGAUGAUACGUAGCCGACCUGAGAGGGUGAUCGGCCACAUUGGGACUGAGACACGGCCCAAACUCCUACGGGAGGCAGCAGUAGGGAAUCUUCCGCAAUGGACGAAAGUCUGACGGAGCAACGCCGCGUGAGUGAAGAAAGGUUUUCGGAUCGUAAAACUCUGUUGUCAGAGAAGAACAAGUUGGAGAGUAACUGCUCCAGCCUUGACGGUAUCUGACCAGAAAGCCACGGCUAACUACGUGCCAGCCGCCGC
rnacentral:rRNA from 1 species